AUGAAGACUGCUUCCAGCACGUGGUUGAAAGGGAGGUUGGCAGGGAGGGUUAAGGCAGAAAAUGAGAACAGCAGAGAGUGAAGACAGAAAUUACUGCGGGAACUCCAGCCCUCUUCUCCCACAGCGGGAGGAAGGAGAGUCAGGGUCUGGAGGGCUCUGCAUGUCCAGUAAGCAAUCGAGUCUGCUGUCCUAAAACUAGAGGAACUCGUUGGAGAAAAGGAAUUAUUUGAACCGAUUGUGAGAAAUUGAACAGCGGCAGGAGGAGAAGGAGAGAAGAAAGGAGCGGACACAUCCAACCAGGCAGCUGGGACACUGUGCAUACAGAUGGAGGUGGCGGCUGGGUCCCUGUUGCGGCUCAUUACUGAGAAGCACAUCAGAGGCUACUGGGUGAGGGUCAGGGAGAACCUGGCUGCCGCGCUGAGCUUUGAACAGGGCUGUUCUGCAGAAGGAACCCCACCCUCGUGCCACCUAAGUGCUGUGGCUGCGGAACCAAUUCCGUUUUCAGAAAUGCAGAUUGCCUUUGGCACAGUCA